rnacentral:rRNA from 1 species
CUUCACCGCUGUCCUUCCAAAAGAGGUGUGGCUCCGCACCUGUCUAAAAAAACUGGGCUACCCACAUACACACGGUUGCAUCGGUCGGCUGUCAUUUAGCGCGCGCAUUUAUUUGCCUGUGCGCUAGGAGGCGUCGACACCAACUAAUUAACACACGAUGAUCUUUAGGAUUUGAAAGUAUUUUGAUGAAACGGCUGGUAAUGCGGUCGUAUAAUCUAAUAAACAACUUUUGGCAACGGAUCUCUUGGUUCUCCCAUCGAUGAAGAACGCAGCGAAACGCGAUAGGUAAUGUGAAUUGCAGAAUGUGAAUCAUCGAAUUUUUGAACGCACCUUGCGCUCUCCUGGACUUACAUCCGGAGAGCAUGCCUGUCUGAGGGCCGCGAAUUUCUUCGAACGACCACUUUUUUCUUAGGAGAGAGGUGGGCGGAUCGGUAUUGAGGGUUUUUGCCAUUUGCACUGGCUCCCUCUAAAUUCAUUAGCUGGACUGUAAUUGCUAGAGAUAGACAGAUAUUACAUCCCUCUCCCUCUGGGUUUUGAUAAUUAUCAGAAAACAGAGGUGAUGGAUUACGCUUGUUAUUUCAUGGUAUACGGUGUUGGCUUCUUAAAACCGCCCAUGGCCUGGUUUGGUUGUCGCUUCGGCGCAUCCAUCAGGAAAGGGAUUUUUAAUUCAAACGGCCUCAGAUCAGGUAGGACUACCCGCUGAACUUAAGCAUAUCAAUAAGCGGAGGAAAAGAAACUAACAAGGAUUCCCCUAGUAACGGCGAGUG